AUUGAACGCUGGCGGCAUGCCUUACACAUGCAAGUCGAACGGCAGCGCGGACUUCGGUCUGGCGGCGAGUGGCGAACGGGUGAGUAACAUAUCGGAACGUGCCCAGGAGUGGGGGAUAGCCCGGCGAAAGCCGGAUUAAUACCGCAUACGAUCUAUGGAUGAAAGUGGGGGACCGCAAGGCCUCACGCUCAUGGAGCGGCCGAUAACUGAUUAGCUAGUUGGUGGGGUAAAGGCCUACCAAGGCGACGAUCAGUAGCUGGUCUGAGAGGACGACCAGCCACACUGGGACUGAGACACGGUCCAGACUCCUACGGGAGGCAGCAGUGGGGAAUUUUGGACAAUGGGCGCAAGCCUGAUCCAGCAAUGCCGCGUGCAGGAAGAAGGCCUUCGGGUUGUAAACUGCUUUUGUACGGAACGAAACGGUCCUGGUUAAUACCCGGGGCUAAUGACGGUACCGUAAGAAUAAGCACCGGCUAACUACGUGCCAGCCGCCGCCGUAAGAC
rnacentral:rRNA from 1 species